rnacentral:rRNA from 1 species
GGGGAAUAUUGGACAAUGGGCGAAAGCCUGAUCCAGCCAUGCCGCGUGUGUGAAGAAGGUCUUCGGAUUGUAAAGCACUUUAAGUUGGGAGGAAGGGCAUUAACCUAAUACGUUAGUGUUUUGACGUUACCGACAGAAUAAGCACCGGCUAACUCUGUGCCAGCAGCCGCGGUAAUACAGAGGGUGCAAGCGUUAAUCGGAAUUACUGGGCGUAAAGCGCGCGUAGGUGGUUUGUUAAGUUGGAUGUGAAAGCCCCGGGCUCAACCUGGGAACUGCAUCCAAAACUGGCAAGCUAGAGUACGGUAGAGGGUGGUGGAAUUUCCUGUGUAGCGGUGAAAUGCGUAGAUAUAGGAAGGAACACCAGUGGCGAAGGCGACCACCUGGACUGAUACUGACACUGAGGUGCGAAAGCGUGGGGAGCAAAC